rnacentral:pre_miRNA from 1 species
UAUUAUGUAAGAACAAAGCAAGUGGUUUCCUCAGAUGGAAUCUACUGAUGAUGUUGUAAACACUGUUAA